UUGAAACAUUGGUUCUCAUACGAUCACCAAAGUUAAGCAAUAUUGAGCCUGGUCAGUAACCAGAUGAGUUACCACUUGGGAAUACCAAGUGCUGUAA